rnacentral:rRNA from 1 species
GACGAACGCUGGCGGCGUGCUUAACACAUGCAAGUCGAACGGAAAGGCCCUGCUUUUGUGGGGUGCUCGAGUGGCGAACGGGUGAGUAACACGUGAGUAACCUGCCCUUGACUUUGGGAUAACUUCAGGAAACUGGGGCUCAUACCGGAUAGGAGCUCCUGCUGCAUGGUGGGGGUUGGACAGUUUCGGCGGUUGGGGAUGGACUCGCGGCUUAUCAGCUUGUUGGUGGGGUAGUGGCUUACCAAGGCUUUGACGGGUAGCCGGCCUGAGAGGGUGACCGGCCACAUUGGGACUGAGAUACGGCCCAGACUCCUACGGGAGGCAGCAGUGGGGAAUAUUGCACAAUGGGCGGAAGCCUGAUGCAGCAACGCCGCGUGCGGGAUGACGGCCUUCGGGUUGUAAACCGCUUUCGCCUGUGACGAAGCGUGAGUGACGGUAAUGGGUAAAGAAGCACCGGCUAACUACGUG